rnacentral:lncRNA from 1 species
GGUAGAAGAAAUUAAAAAGAUGAAAAUUGGUGAUCCACUUGACAGAUCCACUGAUCAUGGGCCCCAAAAUCAUAAGGCUCAUCUGGAAAAGCUGCUGCAAUACUGUGAAACUGGAGUGAAAGAAGGGGCCACUUUGGUGUACGGGGGAAGACAAGUCCAAAGGCCAGGCUUUUUCAUGGAGCCGACCGUGUUCACAGAUGUGGAAGACUACAUGUACCUCGCCAAAGAGGAAUCCUUUGGGCCUAUUAUGGUCAUUUCUAAAUUCCAAAAUGGGUAGGUUCUUCAGACACAAUGUAACUUAGGUUUUGACUAGAUAAGUCAUUUUUCCCCUUUGCCACUGUGCUAUAUACACAGCAUAAGAUUAAUGAACAUGUAAUUUUCUACCAUAAGAAUAAUUAACUUAAAUAAUUAGAAGUUACGCUUUUGCUAACCAUCGUAGAUCAUAGUAUAUUUUUGCUUUUCAGCUUCAAUUAAUGGCCAACAUAAUGGGCUUUUAGCUGAAUAAAUUUUAGUUUUUCUGCACUUGA